AUCUACGGCUGUACCACCCUGAAUGUGUCCGAUCUCGUCUGAUCUCGGAAGCAAAGCAGGGUCGGGCCUGGUUAGUAUUUGGGUGGGAGACAAAAAUGGACUCUCAGUCUAUAGGCAGCUGUUAAGU
rnacentral:rRNA from 1 species